GAUAAAUCUCCUCCAGAAGACCACAACAUGACACUUGACUCAGGAACCAUAAUAAAUUCUGUACGAUAACCAGGAGUUCCCAUGCAGCGGCAGUAAAUCUGGAGCAGUUUUCAUCAGAUAAGAUUAGUGGUCUCAAAGUGUGGCCCUCCAGAUCAACAGUUGAAGUUUUGCAACAUCUGGAGGGCCACAGUUUGGGACCACUAAUAAGAUAGAUGUGACUGUACACAUACUAGACACUGUAGCUGAAGUUUUGCAACAUCUGGAGGGCCACAGUUUGGGACCACUAAUAAGAUAGAUGUGACUGUACACAUACUAGACACUGUAGCUGAAGUUUUGCAACAUCUGGAGGGCCACAGUUUGAGACCACUAGAUAAGAUAGAUGUGACUGUACACAUACUAGACACUGUAGCUGAAGUUUUGCAACAUCUGGAGGGCCACAGUUUGAGACCACUAGAUAAGAUAGAUGUGACUGUCCACGAGCCGGUAGGAGCUGUACUAGAGCCGGAGCGCUUGCUAUGCUGGUAAUGAGGUCUCGCAGUACAGAGAGUGCUGUGGUCAGACAGAAAAGAACUCCAGAAAGAUAUACAACUUCCACUGGAGCAUAAAGCAACUGAUAAGACAAGACAGUUUAAAACUGCUCAGCAUACCACACCAUGCAUAACAGCACGGAGAACCGUCUUCCUGAUAUGGACUUUGAAAAUUGGUUGAACCACAAGAAAUAUAUUUGAGUUUUCCUACGGAAAAAGAGGGGGGAAAAAAGAAAGUAAUUUGUUAAGAAACCUCCUUGACAGAAUGAUGGAGCGUCCUUCUUUUGUGUUUCCCCACAGCACACAGCCACGUGAAUCAAAAAGAAAAGCCAAGUUUACUGUAACACAUUGACUGACAAUUAGAUUUUAAAAGUCUUGGAAAUAAGAUCUCAUAAUGGGACCUAAUGGGAUUCUGAAAUAAAGUCUACUGUUCUCGGAUACCAUCAUUUGUUGAAAUUAAAAGGAAAAAUGCGGAAACUCAAUUAUUGCAGAAGCUGAUCCUUAAGUGGGCUGUCAAACCAAGAAUCUUCUGGCGUCACCGGUACCGCGUGUGUAUUUUUUUUUUCCUUUCCUGUGUUAUUAGAUAUUAUUAGGGACCAUAACAUUAAUAUGGAUGGAUCAAAUGUUUAUCACUCUCCUGUAGCCUCUCGUGCAUAUGGAAAAUAUCUUGUACAUCUCCUGUUCUGUCUCAAAAAAAUUGUAGGAUAUUAAAUCGAGCAAUUAGCCGACUGUAAAAAAUGGCAAUCCGAUCCAGCGGCGGAGUAUAUUCGGCUACACAGAAUCGCACGCACUUCUUUAAGAACUUAAAAGUAGGUCAAGAGUUCUAGAAAUUACAGAUUUUUUUUCUUUAUUUUUUCCUAAACUGUACGUUGGAAAUUCAACUAUGUAUAAUAUGCUACAGGUUUUGAAGUGAUGAAAUACGUUACAUUACAGCUGCUACACAUUUAUUCCUGUAUAAAAGUGGAGGAGAACACAAGGCAGCUCUAAGGGUGUAUGAGAAUUUAAGAUGCUUGUUAAAAUGAUUGGAUAGGAUUAGGGGAAAAAUGGCUGUUUUUCUUGUUGAAAUAGCACCAUGACUGCUCAUGGGUUGUGUCUAAAGUUGCAGAUGAGCUACUUUAAAAGCAAUAGCCUUAAAUCACAAUACCAAAAACAACCUAUGGAUGGGUGAUAGCGCUGUUUAGAGAAAUUAUAAAUCCUUACUCUUAAAGGGGUACUCUGCCAAAAAACAUCUUAUCCCCAUCUCCAGGCCGGCAACGGCGACUUCCGAAACACAGAAACUUGGCGCUUCCGCAUUAGUGAUGUCACACCACGCCCCCUCCAUUCAUGUCUAUGGGAGGGGGCAUGACGGCUGUAAUUGCCAGCCAUCCGGAACAGUACGGAGUUCGCUUGUGCAUGGAUGACUGGGGUGCCACGUCAGAGA